GAACAGGCUGUGCUUCCCUUCCAGGCACAGGGCCCUCUUUGGCAAUUCCCAGGGCUUUUCUCACACCUUAUUCUUUCUGGAAUCUAAGAUAGGAGCCUUUGGGUGAUUGGGUGAUUGAGCUGCUGAAAUGGAAGCCCAGCCAGCCCAGCAUGCAGCCUGUAUCCUGACAGGAGGGGCAGGUGGGAACACAGGAGCUGGCAGGGGAGGAAGCCCAAGGGCGGGGACUCCAGGGAGGCAGGAGAGCUGAGACCACACACUCCUGGGUCCUCCUGAGCUGUGAGGUUUGGCUCACUGUGGAUUUCACCCCAACACGGUUGCCUCAGCUUUCCUGGUACCUCUCCCUGCACCUCACAGUCCUGCUCCUUCAUGACUUCUCUGCACAUAGCCCACAAGCCUGUCCCAGUCUUUCUCUGGCUUCUCCCUUUCUCCAUGCCACUCUCAGCUUUGGUUUGCGCCCAUCAUGGCUGGCUUCCCAUUUCUUCACUCCCGGGCUCAGACCGGCUUGCAUCAAGUUCCCAGUCUUCCCGGAGCUGUGUGUGUGUGUGUGUGUGUGUGUGUGUGUGUGUGUGUGUAAGGAAAUAGAAAGGGGCCUCACAGAACACAGGAAGGCUUCCCUGGCCAAGGGAAGAAGGCAGGUCUGGCUGUCAGCAGCCUCUCAGUGUGUCCUCCUAGCAGGAGGCUGCACAUGGCAGGCCAUGGGGGUGCAGGUUUCUGGUCAGUGAUGAGUAUGCACGCUGAUGUUACUAAGCCCCUCAGCCUGGUCGCUCCUGGCCUCCUUUUAUUUUAUUUAUUUAUUUUUGAGGCAGAGUCUCACUCUGUGGCCGAGGCUGGAGUGCAGUCUCAGCUCACUACAACCUCAACCUUCCAGGUUCAAGUGAUUCUCCUGCCUCAGCCUCCUGAGUAGUUGGGAUUAUAGGCAUUCACUACCACACCUGGCUAAUUUUGUAUUUUUAGUAGAGAUGGGGUUUUGCCAAUGUUGGCUAGGCUGGUCUCGAACUCCUGACUUCAAGUGAUCCACCUGACUCAGCCUCCCAAAGUGCUGGGAUUACAGGCGUGAGCCACUGCACCUGGCCCUUUUGUUUUAUUUUUAAAGACAGGGUCUCACUAUGCUGGCCAGGAUGGUCUUGAGCUCCUGGGCUCAAAUGGUCCUCCCAAGCAGCUGGGAUUAUAGGUGUGCCACUGCGCCUGGUUUGUGAGGCCAGGAUUUGGAAUGUAGGUUAAGAAAAUUCAUUUCUGGGUGGGCGAGGUGGCUCACACCUUUAAUCCCAGAACUUUAGGAGGCUGAGGCAGGUGGAUCACCCGAGGUCAGGAGUUUGCGACCAGCCUGGCCAACAUGGUAAAAUCCCAUCUCUACUAAAAAUACAAAAAUUAGCUGGGCAUGGUGGUGGGCACCUAUAGUCCCAGCUACUUGGGAGGCUGAGGCAGGAGAAUUGCUUAAACACAGGAGGUGGAGGUUGCAGUGAGCCAGGACCAUCCACUGCACUCCAACCUGGGUGCCAGAGUGAGACUCUGUCUCAAGGAAAAAGCAAAUUCAUUUUAGUGAUUGUAUGUUAAAGAAUUUUAAGUCAGGCCAGGCAUGUUGGCCAUGCACGCCUGUAAUCCUAGCACUUUGGGAGGCCGAGGCAGGCAGAUCACCUGAGGUCAGGACUCCAAGACCAGCCUGGCCAACAUGGUGAAACUCGGUCUCUACAAAAGUACAAAAAUUAGCCGGACAUGAUGGUGGAUGCCUGUAAUCCCAUCUACUCGGGAGGCUGAGGCAGAAGAAUCACUCGAACCUGAGAGGCAGAGGUUGCAGUCAGCUGAGAUCAUGCCACUGCACUCCAGCCUAGGUGAGAGAAAGACUCUGUCUCAAAAAAAAAAAGGAAUUUCAAGUCAGAAAAGAUGGUGAAGAAACUAUUUUGCAUACUCACUGUGGAAUUCUCGUUGUGCAGGUUUUGCCUAAAUUUUAGCAUUUAAUUUUCCUGAGCUUUCAGAAGGUGUCUGUUUGGUUUUUGUUUUCUUUUACUUGACCCUACAGGAAUGAGGAAGGAAAGUAUUCUUACCUCUAUGUUCCCAGUGAUAAAAACAAAUCUUAAGAGGGGGAUAAAAGAAUUUGGGGUCCGAAGAUGGCAUGAAGUGGAGUAGGCACAGGGUAUUUGAGCAGCUUGCCUCUUCAGGGCUGGAGGUCAGUUGGGGCCAGAUGGCCAGGGGCUAGGCCUUCUGUGGGCCAGGCAACCAGCGGACACGCUGCCUUUUGCUUGCUGAGUGGUGGGAGGACAGUAGAAACUGCCUCAGCUGCCAUGCCUGUGGCCAGGGCAAGGGCAGAGAGCCUCCUUUCCUCAUUCCUGCCUCCAUGGACCACCUGCCCAGCCCCCUUUCUGCCCCAAGUCUCUGGCAGGGCCUCCUCUCCUCUGACCAUUUCUCCUGGGGGGUGAGGGAGUGUAGCUCUCCCCAGCCCACGAGGUUUCCAGGAGAGCUCCGAAUCCGCCUGCCAAAGCUGGUCCCUGGCCAUGGCUUGGAGAUGGCCACCUCCAUCUGCCAGUCACCAUCAGAAACCCUGGAGGCUCUUUCCUUGCCUAACGCAGCCAUGGCUCAUGGUCCCAAGAAGCAUCUGAAGCGGGUGGCAGCUCCAAAGCACUGGAUGCUGGAUAAAUUGACCGGUGUGUUUGCUCCUCGUCCAUCCACCAGUCCUCACAAGUUGUGAGAGUGUCUCCCCCUCAUCAUUUUCCUAAGGAACAGACUUAAGUAUGCCCUGACAGGAGAUGAAGUAAAGAAGAUUUGCAUGCAGCAGUUCAUUAAAAUUGAUGGCAAAGUCCGAACUGAUAUAACCUACCCUGCUGAUUUCAUGGAUGUCAUCAGCAUUGACAAGACAGGAGAGAAUUUCCAUCUGAUCUAUGACACCAAGGGUCGCUUUGCUGUACAUCGUAUUACACCUGAGGAGGCCAAGUACAAAUUGUGCUAAGUACGAAAAAUCUUUGUGGGCACAAAAGGAAUCCCUCAUCUGGUGACUCAUGAUGUUCGCACCAUCCGCUAUCCUGAUCCCCGCAUCAAGGUGAAUGAUACCAUUCAGAUUGAUUUGGAGACUAGCAAGAUUACUGAUUUCAUCGAGUUUGACACUGGUAACCUGUGUAUGGUGACUGGGGGUGCUAACCUGGGAAGAAUUGGUGUGAUUACGAACAGAGAGAGGCACUCUGGAUCUUUCGAUGUGGUUCAUGUGAAAGAUGCCAAUGGCAACAGCUUUGCCACUGGACUUUCCAAUAUUUUUGUUAUUGGCAAGGGCAACAAACCAUGGAUUUCUCUUCCCCGAGGAAAGGGUAUCCGCCUCACCAUUGCUGAAGAGAGAGACAAAAGACUGGCAGCCAAACAGAGCAGUGGGUGUAAUGGUCCCUGGGUGAUAUGUUAGAUGUUUAUGCAUAAUUAAAAAUCAUAUGGCAUGAUUAAUAGCAAAA